rnacentral:tRNA from 1 species
GCCCCCAUAGUUCAACGGAUAGAAUGCGAGCUUGCGGAGUUCGUGAUUGAGGUUCGAUUCCUCAUGGGGGCA